rfam:Sinorhizobium meliloti 1021 complete chromosome
AAGCGUUCUCAGGGCGGGGUGAAAUUCCCCACCGGCGGUAGCGAACACAGGAUCGGGAAUGGUCGGUGGUCGGAGCCCGCGAGCGCUUCGCAUUUCGUGCGAAGGUCAGCAGAUCCGGUCGAAUUCCGGAGCCGACGGUUAUAGUCCGGAUGGAAGAGAGCAAGC